UUGAUUGAUAAGUCUUGGCCCCAUCUCAAUUAUUUUGUUAAUGAUCUUAGCAUGCUUUGAUCACCAGAAAGGGAACAAAUGCUAUGAUGAAUUGUUCUUUCCAAGCUUCUGCAAUGAUGAAAGUAUAAAAGGGCUUUUCAGUUUCCACCACCAGAUAAGAAAGUGGAUAAAAGAAGUUGGUAGGAGCGUUUUGAAGAGGAAACGCCUGAAUUGACGAAGUUUGCUGUUCGUGUCCUUAGCCUAACCUGUAGUGCAUCAGGAUGUGAGAGGAAUUGGAGCACAUUUGAGUCGGUAAGGUUAUCAAGUGGAAUUAUAUAAUAGGUUGAAUGUUUCUAAUAUCUAGUUUUUAUUUUUAUGUUGGUUUUAGAUUCACACAAAAAAAAGGAAUAGACUUGAACAUAAGAGGCUAAAUGCAUUGGUUUAUUUGAAGUAUAACUCUUUACUAAGAGAGUGAAACAUUAGAAGAAAAUGAGAAAACUUGCUGCAUUAAUACUUAGGGAUGAAGAUGAUGAGAUAGAAGACCUUACUUUGCCUCCCUACACUGAUGCAGCAUUGAUCAGUGAUGAUUGUAAUGAUAUUAAUGUGGGUGUGGAUGCAUAUGAUGACUAUGAUUUGGAAGAAUGAAGUGCAGUUGUUAUUUUUGAAUUAAUAUAGUAUGAACCUAUGUAUUAUUGAAUUUAAAGUUAUGAGAGUGCUUAUUUGGAAUCGUAUUUAAAUAUAUUCAUAUUA